AUACGGAGGGUGCAAGCGUUAAUCGGAAUUACUGGGCGUAAAGCGCGCGUAGGCGGUUUGAUCAGUCGGAUGUGAAAGCCCUGGGCUCAACCUGGGAACUGCAUUCGAUACUGUCAGACUAGAAUAUGGUAGAGGGUAGUGGAAUUCCUGUGUAGCGGUGAAAUGCGUAGAUAUCAGGAGGAACAUCAGUGGCGAAGGCGGCUACCUGGACCAAUAUUGACGCUGAGGUGCGAAAGCGUGGGGAGCAAACAGGAUUAGAAACCCUUGUAGUCC
rnacentral:rRNA from 1 species